GGGUCAGUAGGUUGGUCGUGCCACCGGUACGUACUGUUCUCACUGAUUCCUCCUUCCUGAAGAACCGUAAUGCCAUUAAUUUGGUGUUGCGGGGAAACAGGACUGUUACUUUGAAAAAAUUAGAGUGUUUAAAGCAAGCUAACGCUUGAAUACAUUAGCACGGAAUAAUGAAAUAGGACGAUCGAUCCUAUUUUGUUGGUUUCUAGGAUUGACGUA
rnacentral:rRNA from 1 species